rnacentral:rRNA from 1 species
GGAUUUAUUGGGCGUAAAGCGAGCGCAGGCGGUUCUUUAAGUCUGAUGUGAAAGCCCCCGGCUCAACCGGGGAGGGUCAUUGGAAACUGGAGAACUUGAGUGCAGAAGAGGAGAGUGGAAUUCCACGUGUAGCGGUGAAAUGCGUAGAUAUGUGGAGGAACACCAGUGGCGAAGGCGACUCUCUGGUCUGUAACUGACGCUGAGGCUCGAAAGCGUGGGGAGCAAACAGGAUUAGAUACCCUGGUAGUCAAGGGCG